AUGGAUCCAAAUUCAAGUUAUUUGAUAAAAAUUGAAUUGUUUGGCAACAAAAAAAAAGCUCGAAAAGACAUCCGAUGUUUCUGUUUCAAGAAGAUCAUUGAUUGUGACUUGACAAACUAUAAGGAUUUCAUUGAAUCAAUUGUUGAGCAGUACUCUCCGUGUUAUUUGGAAGUUGCACAUGUGCAGUACUAUGAUGAUGCUCUAAAAAUCUGUCCAGAAGUAAAAUGUGACCAAGAUUUAAUGCUUAUGUUUGAUAAACACUCGGAGACAAAGGUGGUGCGUAUGAUCAUUGCAUAUUGUGAUCCGUCUGAACCGUAUGAGCCUAUCACCGAGUGGCAUAGUGAUGCGCAUAGCCAACCUAAUAAAAAUGUAGAACAAGAGGAUGAUACUUACCUUCGCAACCCAAUACCUGAGAAUGAGCAUGUUGGUGUUGACGAGGAGAAUAUGUAUGAAGUGGAUGAACCUAUUCCCUUAAAUGUGGUUCUUUGUCCUAAUAAAGAGAAGGACAAAGACUAUAUUUGUGAGGAUGAUAGUGAGGCUGAGAGUGAAGUAGAGGAUGAUGAAGUAGAGGAGGUUGAAGUAGAGGAGGAUGAGGAGUUGCAUGAGGCAGAGCAUACUCCACAUGUAGAGUAUGACAAAUUAGACCCUCCAAUGACAAAAGGCUUUACAUAUCCCAGCAUGAAAGAGUUCAAGUUGGCACUUUCUCAGCAUGCAAUCAAACAUGAAUUUGAGUAUAACACCGAGUAUAGUACCCGUCAUCGGUUUAGGGGCUAUUGUUCAAGACGGGAUGCAGAUAAUUGUCCCUGGAGGAUACAUGCUUCUACAACAGAAGAUAAGUGUACCGUGAUGGUAAUUGUUUAA
rnacentral:rRNA from 1 species